AACCGUUCAUGCAAACUCAGAUGGACUCUCCAUCUCUGUGGAUAGGAGUGCUCUUCUCUUCCUGACAUAGAGGACUCUUGGAUAGGUGUCCCGUGGCCGAUGCUAGAGCAGACUGAGGGCCCCGUGGGUUCCAGUACCAGCAUGGCUCCUUCAACCUGGAAUUGCAACAGGCUACAGAGUCAAGGCCAUGUGCACAAGACUUCCAGCUUUUCCAGGGACCCCGGCGGGCGACGGAGGCACGCAUUCUUCUCAGAUCUGCACAUUUGUUCUAGAGUCUGGAGCAGAAUUCCUGAAGUCAAGGGAGAUCACAGUCAAUGACCACUGACCAAGAGCCCUUGGACAUGACCCUGGACUUCUCCUCAAACUCCCAAGCCACUGGCCAACUCACUCUUUUCUGGAGAGAUGGACUUUUGAAAAAAACGAGGUGUUUGGAUUUUACUUUAUCAUCUGGCUUCCUUCUGACACU